rnacentral:RNase_P_RNA from 1 species
CUCGAUGCGGAGGGAAUUCGGUGAGGCUACGGUAACACGUAGUUACUUACAGGAAAGUCCGGACACCGCAGAGUAGGGCACCGUGUGAAAGCGCGGGCACAGUUUGUAAAGGGCUGUGACGGAAAGUGCAACAGAAAGGAUACCGCCGCAAGGUAAGGGUGAAAAGGCGAGGUAAGAGCUCACCGGAGUCGUAGUAAUGCGAUUCGCAAUGAAAACCCUGUCCGGUGCAAGGCCAAAUAUGGAUCCGAGUGGCUCGCUCGAUGGUUCCGGGUUGGUCGCACUUCGAAAGGAGCAGGGUGUUGCCCUGAGAGAAAUGAAUUCCGAGUGUUUUUCGUAACACUUACAGAAUCCGGCUUAUAUCCGGUCGAGCGCC